GACGAACGCUGGCGGCGUGCCUAAUACAUGCAAGUAGAACGCUGAAGGAGGAGCUUGCUUCUCUGGAUGAGUUGCGAACGGGUGAGUAACGCGUAGGUAACCUGCCUGGUAGCGGGGGAUAACUAUUGGAAACGAUAGCUAAUACCGCAUAAGAGUAGAUGUUGCAUGACAUUUGCUUAAAAGGUGCAAUUGCAUCACUACCAGAUGGACCUGCGUUGUAUUAGCUAGUUGGUGAGGUAACGGCUCACCAAGGCGACGAUACAUAGCCGACCUGAGAGGGUGAUCGGCCAGACUGGGACUGGGACACGGCCCAGAAUCCUACGGGAGGAAGCAGUAGGGAAUCUUCGGCCAUGGACGGAAGUCUGACCGAGCAACGCCGCGUGAGUGAAGAAGGUUGUCGGAUCGUAAAGCUCUGUUGUGAGAGAAGAACGAGUGUGAGAGUGGAAAGUUCACACUGUGACGGUAUCUUACCAGAAAGGGACGGCUAACUACGUG
rnacentral:rRNA from 1 species